GGUUUGGGCAGUACGCUUAGGUAUAUAAGGUUUUCAGAAAAACUGGUCAGGGUCCUUGGCUAAGAGGAGACUCUGCCUUGGGCCCGCCGGUGUAUAAACUGCACUCCACUACCUGCAUUGCCCUUCUGAGUGAGUUUGUUUCCCAGAACACGUGGCUACAACAUUUGGUGCAUGGGCCGGGAAACUCCUCACUUUGAGGAGACAAGUCCCAUUUGGGACUACUCCGAGGCCUUGAGGCUCGAAUCUUCUAGAGGGGGGAAGGUGCCUCGCCCUUCUGGAAGGAUUCUGCUUCUCAAUGCCCGGACCUUUCACGUUAGCAGGUAGUGGACGGCAGCAGGGGAACUGAGCACUCAGGUGAGGAGGAACCCAUCUGGUAAAGUGGAAGAGGGGGCCUGAUCACCCCCCUGGGAGGGACUAGAAGGGGCACAGACCCACAGGAGCCUGGAAUAGGCAGGUGGCAAUGAUUGCUUGGUACAUAGGUUGACCAGUGUGUUAGGGCUUAGGAAGGAAAUUUGUGAAAUUCAUUUAGCUGGUGGUGUCCACGCCGUCUUGGGGAAAAUUAUUACCAAGCAAUUGCUAGGGGAUUUUUAGGAGAAAAAAACUUGGUUUUUGUGUGCUUGUAUUCUGCCCUCCCCAAAGAGGUGUCCCAUCUGCUAUGAAAUUCUUGACCCCCUCGGAAUUGUCAGGCUAGAAGGAGGGGGAUACAUAAAUGAGUACAAAUUGGCUUUUCCGGAGACAGCCUGGGAUGUGGGAUAUUUAACCCAUCUGUAUUUUCAUCUGCAUCUGAUCAAGCCCACCAAAGCUGAAUGGACUUUAAAGUUAAGGGAAAAAUAGUCUUGGAUUACGUGGUGUUCUGGUUUGGCUGUGCUGACCAGCAGGUGAAGACACACCGAUCCCCCUUCUCCCUCUGAGAUCUGGCAGGUAAGGCUCUUCUCACCCCAAUUAGGAAGGAGGCAGAAUGGCAAUUUAAGUGUCAUUGAGUGAAAAUAUCAGAAGUACAUAGGGUACUGAGAACUUCGUGGACAGAACGAAAAGGAAAAGUAGAAGAAGAUCCGAGAAGGUAAGCAAGAUGGGGGGAAGUGAACCUAAGGCAACUGUAUUGGAGUGCAUGAUUAAAAAUUUAAAGAAGGGAUUUGGAGGAGACUAUGGGGUGAAGAUGAAGCCUAACCGCCUCCACAUACUCUGUGAGGUUGAAUGGCCCCCUAUGGGAGUAGGGUGGACGCCAGAGAACACCAUGAACUUAAAAAUAGUGGAAGCAGUCUAUACAGUAGUCACAGGAGAGCCAGGACACCUGGAUCAAUAUCCAUAUAUUGACUCAUGGCUAGGGUUAGCUCAACACCCUCCUACUUGGACAAGCUUCUGUAUCCAGAAGGGAAAGGGAAAAAUAUUAAUGGCACAAAAAUUGACUGAUGAUAAAAAAGGAAAUUCUACAGGAUUUGGACGGGGAUGACCUGACCCCUCCCCCAUACUGGAUAAUGACGCGCCUGCCUCUCAGUGCUCCACCAGAGCCAGAGGCCGCCUUACUGCCCAAUCUAGGGCCAGGUGAAGUUCCUGCAGCAACCACUGCUCUUCCACCAGCUUUCCCGGAGUUCGUAGAGCUGCUGUUUAGGUAGGUUCCAAUCCCAGCAAUGGAGACCUCUAGUCAAUGCCCCCAGAAUUCCACCUCAUCUGGACCUCUUAGAUUGUAUCCACCUCUCCCAGUGAGUACUGAUGGGAAGGGGGAAGAAAACAGCAAUUAGACAGAGGCUGCGCUCUGCCAAGGAACAGGGGAAAGAACCCCACUACAGAUGUCCCUCAGAGAGCUACAAUAGCCUCCAGUUCAGGACGCAUGGGGCAAUACCAUCAGCCCCCUGUAGCCUAUUAUCACCAGCCAUUUUCCUCUACGGAUAUAUUAAACUGGCAGAGACAUGCUCCACCAUACUCGGGGGAGCCACAAGCCAUGAUUAGGCUAAUGGAGACUAUUUUUCGAACCCACCGCCCUACAUAGGAUGACAUAAUCCAACUACUAGUCUCCCUUUUCAGCACUGAGGAAAGACAUAGGAUCCUAAUUGAGGCUAGAAAAUGGUUAAGAGAAAUGGCACCUGAGGGUACUGCAAACCCGCAGCGGUAGGCAGAACUAGCCACCCCUGAUGAGAGGCUCAAUUGGGACUGUAACACAGAGGAAGGGAGGGGCCACCUGGAGGGAUAUCAGGUGACUAUUUUACAAGGUCUCAAUAGGGGGGCCAGAAAAGCUAACCGUCUGAAGUGAUUCAAAGGGAAAGCGAAUCACCCUCUGAGUUCUGCAGAAUACUGUGCGAGGCCUAUAGACUUUAUACGCCAAUAGACCCAGCCAGAGGCUACUGGGUCUCAGAUGGUGAUAAAUGCAGCCUUUGUGUCUCUAGCCUACCCUGAAAAUGUCAGAUAGGGGGACACCAAGUGACUCAUGAAUUUUUAUACAUCCCUGAAUGCCCAGUACCUUUGUUAGGAAGAGACUUGCUGUCUAAACUGGGGACACAAGUGACCUUUCCCCCAACGAAAGACCCACUGUUUGAGUGGGCUCAACCACCUAUUUACUCUUCCUCUCAGUAACCCCUCAAGAUGAAUGGAGGUUGCACAAUCUCCCAGCAAGGAAACGGGACGGGCUAAACAGUCAAGAGAGAGAGUUAACUCAACAAUUCCCUGAGGUCUGGGCGGAAGACAACCCCCCUAGGCUUGCAAAACAAGUCCCACUGGUAAUAGAACUCAAACCCGGUACAAUUACGUCAGCACUGCCUUGGGCCUGCCAGACCUUGCUAAGCCAUUUACUCUUUAUGUGACUGAAAAGGACAAGGUGGCUAUGGGAGUGUUGUCCCAGAUUACGGGGACAUGGGACAGACCAGUGACUUAUCUCUAAUCAGUUGGACAGUGUUGCCACUGGCUGUCUGGGAUGCUUAUGAGCAGUUGCCGCAGUUGCCUUACUGGUCCGGGAGGCAACCAAGCUGACUUUGGGCCAAGAUUUGUUUGUAAAAGUCUCGCAUGAGGUCAACACUCUCCUGCGAGGGGACCCCCAAUAAAUGGCUGUCAACAUCCCGGAUUACUCAAUACCAGGGACUGUUAUGUGAGAACCCCCAUGUUACUACUGAGCCUUGUCAGGCCCUGAAUCUGGCCACUCUCUUUCUUGUGGGAGAAGGUGGGCCCUCACAUGAUUACAAGGAAAUAUGCCAGCAGACCUGACUUGAGAGACCAGCCAAUCCCAGACCCAGAUUUGGUCCUGUACACCAAUGGCCCCAGCCGGGUGAAACAAGGACAAUGACUGUCGGGAUAUGCAGUAGUCAUGGAAGAAACCAUCGUUGAGGCUAACUGUCUGCCAUCACACUGGUCCGCUCAACAAGCCGAACUAUAUGCUCUAAUCCAGGCCCUCCAGCUGUCAAAAGGACAAAAUCUCAGAACUGCACUGCUUGCUCACAGGUCAAUGCUGCCUUCAGCACAGACAGAGACCUCCAGGGAUUCAGCUAAAAGUAUGCUGCCCUUUGAACACCUGGAAGUGGACUUGACUGAAAUGAAACCUCACUGACACUACCAUUACCUGCUGGUCAUAGUAUGUACGUUCUCAGGAUGGGUAGAAGCUUUUCCUACCUGGACUGAAAGAGCAUCAAAAGUAGCCUGGUGCCUGAUUAGGGAGAAGUUCCCAGAUUUGGAUUUCCUACCAGCAUUGGAUCGGACAGUGGCCGGGCUUUUGUAGCUGAUUUAGUAUAACAAGUAAGCAAAACUUUAAACAUCAAGUGGAAAUUACAUACAGCAUAUAGGCCCCAGAGUUCUGGGAUGGAGGAAGGAACCAACCGGACACUUAAAGAGACACUCUCCAAGUGGAUCUUAGAGACUGACUGUUCCUGGGUGGACUUGUUUCCGACGGUUCUGCUCAGACUCAGGAUGACCCCACAGUCCCAUGGCUCUUCUCCGUACAAAAUUGUGUAUGGGAGGCCCCCUCCCAUAAUAUAACAGGUGUCCACAAAUUUAUCUCAGGUAAGGGGAGAUGAGAUUUCACCACAGAUGGAACAACUGGGUAAGGUAAUAAAUCAGGUAACUAAGUUUGUACAAGAAAGGGUGCCAUUCCCCCAUGGGGAACAGAUUCACGAAUUUGUGCCUGGGAAUCAGGUGUGGUCAAGGACUGGAAACACGACUCCUUGGCCCCACAUUGGAAGGGUCCAUAUGCUGCUGCUGCUAAGUCACUUCAGUCGUGUCUGACUCUGUGUGACCCCAUGGAUGGCAGCCCACCAGGCUCCCCCGUCCCUGGGAUUCUCCAGGCAAGAACACUGGAGUGGGUUGCCAUUUCCUUCUCCAAUGCAUGAAAGUGAAAAGUGAAAGUGAAGUCGCUCAGUCAUGUCUGACUCUUAGCGACCCCAUGGACUGCAGCCUACCAGGCUUCUCUGUUCUAAUUACCCCUACAGCAGUUAAAGUUGCAGGCGUCAUUCCCUGGAUCCACCACACGAGGGUGAAGAGAGCAUACCACGCAGAUCUGGAGGACGCUGAGUGGACUACACAAAGGGAUCCCACUGAUCCCCGUGAAACAAAGGUCAUCUUAAAGAAGAAAAAGAGAUGAAGCUCUACAAUCAACUGCUGCUACAACGAUUUGCCCAUAUCAUCUUGAGACUAACCAUAGUUUCAGUACAAAGAGGGACCUGUGCUAUAAUUAAAGUUGAAUGUUGUGUAUAUAUUCCC